GCCACGUCAUAACUGAUUUAGGAUAUUGGGCUUCAAAUCACUUCUGAUCUGUCAAAAUAAUCUUAACGGCCCAGCAAGCCCACCUAUGGAAAGCAUCGUAACCUUUGUCUCAACGACACGAAUCCUUCUUCCUCAUUUUCUCUGUAGAUCGUUCGUGAAACCCUUUCCUCUUCCUCUUCUUCGAUUCCGUUUCACGAUCUGAUUUACGAUCAAUCAAUACAGACUCCACUUCGGUUCUCCCUUUAAUUUCAUUUAUGGAUUCUCUUUUCUUCUCUCGCUCUGUUUUUCUUUAUAAAACUCUUAAUCCGAGUUUUGUUUCGAUCAAACUUGGUUGUCUCUUCUCAUUACUCUACUGCGAUGAGUUCCUACAGAGAAUCGACGAUCGGCAAAAGCGGUGUUUCUCCCGGCCUCAAGAUCGGCGAUCCCAACUCGAAGAAAGCAAAAGGCAAAGCGGCGGUCUCCUCUUCCAGUCCGACCAAACUCAUCGGCAAAACCGGUGUCUCUUCCGGCCUCUCCAUCGACAAUCCCCACUCGAAGAAACUCAAUGCAGCAGACGAGGUAGCUGAGGAGAUCCGGCGGCUGAACGAUGUCCCGAUGCUUGCGAUCCCACCGGAAUUGCAGACCUGAGAGUUGUUAGAGAUGGAUAAGAUAAGUGUCGCUAACCUCUUGCUUCGUAAUGCCAUAGCUCUCUAGGAUUAUUGUUCUGUACUCUUCUCGCUUCUCGGGAUUAUGAAUUAAUGCGAUUGCAAGGAAGAGAUGGGUCUGCGGAAAUCUUUAACGAAUUGGCCCCAUGAAGAAGUGUGGAUAAGCUCCUUCUCGUCUCUCACUUCUCAGUUUCAGUUCAAUUGUGGUUUAAGAGAUUGUUCUCUGCGAUGAAAUGCAACACUUCAACCAAAUCGAAUAGCACAUUCUUGAUUUGAACACAUGGGCGUCUAUAUGUUACUAUUGGAUGAUAAGGACUACAGGAGCCACUCAUCCAAGCCUCUAACACACAAAGUCCACGGGCUGAACACUUUCAGAGAAUUAGAGGAAGCAUUUUCAGAGAAUUAAGUGGAUUCGAUGUGGAUUUGCUAUGAAAAAAAAAAGAUGUUGGAAGACAGAAGGUUCCCCAAAUUGCAUCUCAACUUUCAGCUCAGGCAACUCUGAUUCAGGCCUCAAUUACCUUGGCUUGGACUGUUCAUGAUGUUAUCGCUUGAGUGUACAGACUCAAUAAGUUCCAAUACCUAAGACCUGAACUGAACAUCCCUUCUUUGCUCUUGACUACUUGCCUUUUUGUUUAUGUCCAGAGAAGUGAUAACCACCUGGUGAUGACAUGCCUGGAGCUGUAGCAGUGUCAACUAAGCCAUCUGAUAUGAUGCUCCAUCAUGCAUCUGAGAAAAAAAAAGCUACGAGUGAUAGUGGUUGGAUUGUUGAAGAGAGUGAUGCUGCUCCACCUCAAUCAACUGAUGCUACUGUUUUGGUUGGUUCUGAUUAAUCGGAAGGAUCCACCCACGGAGAAUGUGCCUGAAGGUAAGAAGCCACGCAUUGCAUAACUUUAUAGGCUAAGGAGGACCUAAGCUUAAAGUCGGUUACAUCGAGUCUAUCGUUUUUUCUUUCUUUUCCUCUGUUUUGAUCUUUUAAUUCUUAGAGAUUUUCCUCACAUGAAACCUUCUUCGGUGUUUUAAUUUAUCUUUGGUUUUAGUUUUCGUUCUGACUUGGAAACAAAGUUCGUCUAUUGU